rnacentral:sRNA from 1 species
GCAUAUGGAACGCCGACUAAACAACAACCCGUCAUGGGUCAACGUCGAAAUGACCCGGAUCCUCCGGG